ensembl:lncRNA
UUUUUUUUUUUCAGUGUAAAAAUCACUGGCCAUCUCUACAAUGAGUGAGUGAGUGUGUGUAAUGUCAGUAUGACUAUGUUGUAGUGUGUGUGUGCUUCUGUGUGUGUAUGUGUAUAAAGCAAAGGCAGAGUAUAAAGAUUAUGCACAUAUUCUGUACAUGAACGUUUCAGUUGUGUUCCCCAGCGGAGCACCAAUGCAUGAAAGGAUUUGUGACAAGGAGCUCCAGUUAUAUGUAAUUCAAUAAUAUUAUGUGGAGAGAUAACAAUUUAUUGUUUAUUUUAGGAUUUUAUUUAGAGGCCAAAAGGAACGAUUCAUUUAUUUAAAGAUCUGAUAUAAAUUUGAAUGCUGACGUUCAAAAAACAAAAACAUGGUAAAGAAAGUUUUGGAAUGCCGUCGUGAUAAAAAAAAAAAAAAAUGCAGAGGAAGUGUAUUGAAAUUGGUUUAAGAGAAAUGAAUAGAAGUGUUGAACAUCUCAUCAAUGUUGGGCAGAUCCCUAGUAAAUCUUUUCAAUACUAAAGCUAAGCCUUUCCGUCACCACCACAAAGAGAAACUGUUAGUACCAAUUGUAAAGCUCACUCACCAAGCGUUUUGUUCAUUUCUCGCAAUAAUAUUUCGGAAUUACAGGAUUUUCGGGGGCGUUUUCAAAUGAGAUCUUGAACCACAAUAGUAAUUUACGAUAAUGCUAUGAGGUAGGCAGGAUACCUUGUACUUCCUGAAACUGUUGGGUUGUCUUCCACAUUAUUUAUCCUUCACCUCUUUUUCUUGCGCGUAUGCUUGAUGAAAAACUGCACCGCAGACUCCAUGUGCUUGGGCCCGUCAUCAGGGCCUGCCAGUCUGAUUAAGACUGGCAGAAACAGAUGACCGACUCAUGAUUAUUUGCCUUCAGUUCUUGAAUGGAUUCUGUUCUGGUCUGCUCUGAUUAGUUUCCCCCUCGCCAAACACGAAAGAUGUAAAAUAUGCAAAACAGUAGCAUGUUUGAUGGGUUAAGAAGCCAGUACAGGAUGUUCUUUUAACCAAACUCUCUAUCUAGACUAGUUUCAGUGCUUAUAUACUGCACUAUGGGAAACGGUACUGCAUAUAUUCUGCACAGUACUCCUCUGUUUGUGGUUUUGUUUCAUUGCUAAUUUGACAGUUACAAGAGCUCCAUGUAAUAUAACACGCUAAAGCGAUUUAUCCUUUUUCUUAAACGACAGAUCUUGAUGUAUAUGAACCCUGUUCCUUAAAGUUCCUAACUUACAGAGUCGUUUGGGAACUAAACGUAGCUGCUUUUGUCACAUUCAACAUGUCUGAUGGUAUAUUCUAUCAUAACUGGAUUUUAGUGUGUGUAUGUUUGUACGUAUGACUGUAUUUGGUGCUAUUGUCAUUGUUUUUUAAUCGAAGCAGUUUCAGAACAUAACUUGCAUGAUUUUGGUUCAAUAACUCUGUGCCAAUGGUCGCUCUCUAUCUCAGACUCUCUCUCUCUCUCUCUUUCCUCCACUCCUCUCUGUGAUAGUUUUCCUGAGUUUUGAAGUUACUCUUUUUAUAGUAAGAAUCAAGCAAAAAAAAAAAAAGUUUUUUUUCUUUCCAAGCAGUCUUCUCAUCACAUCACAAAUCACUGACGUGCAAAAGCGAAAUGUCUGCUGAGUGCUGUACUUAUAUUGAGAGAAGCAAGAUACAUUUCAAGACUUUUUUUUCUUGUUCUUUUUGUUUUGUUUUGGAAAGCAUUGAGAUGUAUUUAAUGGUGAAGACAAAAAACAGCGAUUAAAUAAUGCAUUCUUGUAGAAAUAUUUUUAAAAAAACCCUUUUGCAAUUAAAUUAUUUAAGAAAUACCUGCGUUUGCUGUCUGAUUUUUUUUUUUUACGGCUGUUGUGUAUCAACAUGUUCAGUUUCAGUUGUCAAUUGUCAAUUGUUGUCCUUUCUCAGACAUGUUGGGGCCACACAUGCUUGCUUAAUUGAAAAGCCUGAGGAUUUUUA